GAUUGCUUGGGUAGGAACAAGAGGAGGAGAUUUGCAGGAUUUUGGUGAUUUUUCGGAGGAGGGUUUGGGUUUGUUUUGGUGAUCGAGUUUGGGAAAAGGUUUUCAACACAAGAAGAGGGUAUGCUCUGCAGCAGGGAACUGUGAUUUCUGACUGGGAUAGACUUGGCACACUCAGCGAGCCUUAAGGGUCAAACUAUUGUUCCUGCAUUUGACAGAUAAAUGCUGGAAUCGACACGGUUAUGGUGCCUUUCACAUUUGGAAAUUUUGUGGAUGAUUCAGUAUAUCUGUUAGAACAUGGGCAAAUGCUAAUGUCCAACAUAGAUGAUGCUAUUGAGAGAAUACUGAGUGAAGUUUGUUGCUGAUCUUUUUAAACACCCCUUUUGUGAUAGAUCUUUGCUCUACAUGGUUGGUUGUAAGUUUCCAGUUGUUAGAGGAAGAGAGCAUUGAAUUCAAGGGAUAUGGACUUCGUGACAAUGCUGUGUAACUCUCUGUUUUUGAGAAUCAGGAAAUGGGACUGUGCCUUGGUCGUAUCUAGGCGGACCAAUCUACUGUUGCAAUCAGAGAAACGUUUGGGAAGUUUUAUGAUGAACUUGAACCUGGUUGUCAUUGUUUGCCUUGGUGAUUGGGUAGUGCAGUAGCUGGUCAUCUCUUUCUACGAGUGCAGCAAUUGGAUGUUGGCUAUGAAACAAAGACCAAGGUUCAUGUGCUUCCUUCCAUUUUGGAUCUUAUCUUGGGUUUCCAGAGCAUUUUUCUCAGUUGCAUUUCCACUUUGUUUUGUGCUCU